UAGCGCGCCGCGUGAUCCAUCUUUCUCUCGUCUUCUCUGUUCUACUUUUUUCAUUCAUGAUGAUUCGAAUUCUUGAUUCUAAAGUUUUGCGUGUUCUUUAAGUCCUUUGCUAAAACUUCUUUGCUGCGUGUUGUCCUGAUUUCAGGUUUUGCUGUUCACCUGUUCGUGAUUUCUUUGAUCCAAUUGCUAUAAAGGAACACUCGUAAUGGAUUAUCGGGUUGUAGAUAUCAAUCAAGAAUAUCGUAAUUCUCUUUAUCUUCUUUUAUUGAUCGGUUAUGUUAUCGAGAAUUGUUUGAAUAAUUUUUGGAUUAUUGGAUAUAAUUCUUCAUCAUUGGAUAAUCAAGAUACGUGUUUAUCCGUUUUGCAGCGAGAUGAAUCUAGAUCACUUUUGCGAUUCUUGAAAAAUUAGAUAGCAACAGAGAACGGUUCCAGAUAAAUCGAAUUGAACUGUGAACUUGAUUUUGAUUUCUUGAUUCUAAAGUUUUGCUUGUUCUUGAGAUCCGUUGCUCAGAUUUGUUUGCUUCGUCAUGUUUGGAUUUCAGGCUUUGCUUUAUUGAUGUUGAUCCGUUGCUCAGAUUGUUAAUGUCAAGAAUUUAACACAAUCACACUUCUAUUGACUCUUCCGUUAUGCAUCAUCGGUUAUAAAAAAUUAUUUGUACAAUUAUUUGGCUAUAAUUCUUCAUUUGAUAAUCUGAGAGAUGGCUUUAUCCGUUUUGCAGUGAGCUGAGAAAUGUUGAUAUCUAGAACGAGUUGACAAGAUCGGAGAACGGUCUCCAAUAGUUAAAUCAAAUUUCUUCAAUGAGUCUUUUAUUACCAUUCUUAUUUAUUUUCGGGAUUUGAUUUCAAGAAAGACGAAUUGAAUUUUGAACAUGAUUUUCUGCAGCUUGGUUUGUCAAAUUAUUAACCUUCUUCGUAGCAUGGUGAUGGAGCCUAGAAUUUUGAUUUGGUGAUCUAUUAACCUUCUUCAUAUUGCGGUUUGUGUAUACUAAUACAAUUUAAACGAUAUGAAUUCAAGGAGAAGAAGAGAGAAGAGAAAACACAAAAAGAAACUAUGAAUAAAAGCACCAGCCCUAUUUAAGUAAUAUAAAAUUUAAUCUUAAAAGAUAUUCUAAGAUACUUUAAUAUAAUCUUUUCUGUAAUCUUUUCUGAGGUUUUAUUUGGUUGUUGGUUUUGAUUUUGGAGUUUUCCUGUAAUAUUUUCUAAGGUUUUAUUUACCUAUUUUACUAUAUUAUUGAGUUUUUUUCAUCAAAUGUUAUUCUUUGUGUAUAUCAGAUAAUGGUGAUGUUUUGCAAAACUUGACACUUGAUUAUCACAUCUCAUUAAACUGCAAUCAGGUUUAUUUUGGUACACAACUUGGAUUGUGAAUUAUUUUCAAUUCAUCUAUUCUCCGUGGAAUUUUAUUGUGCAGUCUUCCUGACAAGUUUAUUUUGAUGAUGACAAGUUUAUUGGCAUGCGGUGAGUGUUUGGUACUGAAAAGUUCAGACUUAGCGUUGGUAUUGCUUUCUUACAUUAGGUUUCUUACAUUAGGUUAUCUGCCAGUGUGAUAAAUUGGAGUGGACAGCUUUGUGGAGGACUCUUCCUAACUAUGAUAUUCUGAUCAGGACUUGGUUUGGAGAAUUAUGCUACUCUCUUUUUCUACAACUAUUUGUCGUAUGUGAUUUUGUUGAACGUGUAUGAUAUCAUCUGGUGUUCACAGGGUGCCAAAGAAGUCUUCUUUCCCAAUCACCUUGUUAACUUUGUUAUCUGAAGUGGAGAAAUUAAAGACGAGUGCCUCUGUGGUUUGCUACUUACUUAUCUCCUGUGAAUCUUCUGUGAAUUAAUCACCUUGUAAACCUUCAUGUUUUGCUGGCUGUGGUAUAUAUUUUCAACUAUUGCUAGGAUUAAUUUGGCAAUGCGAAUUUAGAUUUGAACAUCUCUGCUUGCAUACAGGCUUCUCGAUCAUUCUCUACAAGUUUGGGCGAGAGUAUCAUAUAAUUGUGAUUGAUCUUGGCAUAUAAUUGGUCUUUUUUUAUUAUAUGUAUAUGUAUUUGUUCCCGAAUAGUUGUUCUUUGAUUGUGUCAUUUUUGUGUUUCUUCCAGUGUUGAAGUUUUCUUUUGUUUCUGUAUCCAGAACCUAAGUACUACUCUGGCAUAGAUUACAUUGGAAUGACUCUUUGGCCUUAACUUGGUUUGGGGGGCAGUAUCCAAUUUUUUUUAUUGUUUUGUUGUUUUUGUUGUGAUUUAUGAUGAUGAUACUCAUACUCCUAAAAAGAUACCCUCUUCAUUACAGUGGUCAAAUGACUCUUUAUUAGGAGGAAGCUAAAAUCGUGUCAUUUCAUAUGGGUUUUGCUGUUGUUGAUUUCUUUGAUCUAAUACUAUAAAGGAACCCUCGUUAUGGAUUUUCGGAUUAUAGAUAUCAAGAAUUUCGUAAUUCUUUUAAUCUUCUUUUGUUGAUUAGUUAUCGAGACUUGUUUGCAUAAUUUUUGGAUUAUUGGAUGUAAUUCUUCAUCAUUGGAUAACCGAGAUACCUGUUUAUCCGUUUUGCAGCGAGAUGAAUCUAGAUCAGUUUUGCGAUUUUUGAUAUUGUGGAUAACAACAGAGAACGGUUAAGAUAAAUUGAAUUGAACCGUGAACAUAUUCUGAAUUCUUGAUUCUAAAGUUUAGUUUUAUUGUUUGUUCGUAAGAUUCGUUGCUCAGACUUGUUUGAUUCGUCAUGUUUGGAUUUCAGGCUUUGCUUUGUUGAUCUGAAUGGAGUCUUUCUUGAUUUCCUCAUGGAUUUUGGUUUCUUGAUUUGUAAUCUUGAUUGUUUACGGUUCACCGUUCUUGUUUUCUUUGGUCUGCCGCUAUAAACGUAUUAAUAUGGUUUUCUCAUAUAUUGCAGAUAUCAAGAAUUUCACACGAUCACACUUGUAUUCACUCUUCUUUUAUGCAUCAUCGUUUAUCAAUGAUUAUUUCAAUAACUUUAAUAUAAUUAUUCAAUUGAUAAUCGAGUUAUGAAUUUGUUCGUUUUGCUUGCAGUGUGUUGAAAAGUUUUGAUGUCUAGAGCAAACUUGAUACAUUAGAUAAGAUUGGAGAAUGGUCCCGAAUAGAUAAAUCAAAGUUAUUUUUCACGUUUCUUGAUUUGUUAUCUUGAUUGUUUACUCCGAGAGUCUGAGAAAUAAUCUUGAUUUCAGGGAUUGUUCUCAUAUUGCAGUGCAGAUAUCAAGAAUUUCAUGUGAUCACAUUGCUAUUCACUCAUCAUCGGUUAUCCAUAAUUAUUUCAAUAACUUUUGAAUAUGAUUCUUCAAUUGAUAAUCAAGUUAUACAUUUAUCUGUUUUGCUUAUGCAGUGAGCUGAAAAGUUUUUGAUGUCCGAGCAGACUUGAUACAAUAGAUAAGAUUGGAGAACGGUCCCGGAUAGAUAAACCAAAUUUCUUCAAUGAAUCUUUUUUUACUACUUAUAUUUAUUUUUCGGAUUUGAUUUUAAGACGCGAAAUUGAACUAAGAACAUGCUUUUCUGCACUGUGGUUUGUCAAAAUGUUAACUUUCUUCAUAGCAUGGAGUGGACCCUAGAAUUAUGAUUUGGUGAUCUCUAUUAACCUUCUUCACAGCAGCAUGGUUUUGUAUAUAUGAACAAACACUAAUCACUAUUUACAUAGAUGCAAUUACGAAGAAAACAUAAAUAAUAAUAAGUAAUAUAAAAUUUAAUCUUUAAAGAUAUUCUAAGAUACUUUAAUAUAUUAUCAAAGAUACUGAAGAUAUUUUUGGAUAUUUUAACGGUUUGAUCUUCAUGUUAUGUAACCUUUUAAGGUUUUAUUUGGUUGUUGAUUUUGAUGAUCUUAAAAGUUUCUUUUGUCAAUUGUUUUGUGAAACAGAUGCAUGAUUAUCACCUCUUGUUGAAUGAUUAUUACCUCUUGUUGAAUUGUGAAUGGAAAAUAUAUAUAAGUAAACUUCCUCUUAUAUAUAGGACCGGAGGGAGUAUGUUUUGAAACAGUGAACUUCAGUUAUAAAGCAAUCAGGUUUAUUUUCAUACACACUUCUUGGAUUGUGAAUUAUUUUCAAUUCUCUGUGGAGUUUUAUUGUGCAAUCUUCUCAACAAGUCUAUUUUGAUGACAAGUUUAUUGAGGUGUGGUGAAUGUUGGGAUUGAAAAGUUCAGUUGCAGGGUUUCCUUGUGCCAUCAGUACAAAAUUCUGGAUAAAUUGGCAGUGAACAGCUUUGUGGAGCUCUCUUCCUAAUUAUGAUCUUCUGAUCAAGAACUUUGUUUGGAGAAUUAUGCUACACUCUAUUUAUUCAUAGCUUUUUCUACAACUAUUUGUCACAUCGUGUUCCCACUUGUUAACCUUUAUGUCUGAAGUGGAUAAAUUAAAGAUGAGUGCCUCUAUGCUAUGAAUUAAUUAACAGUUUUGCUGGCUGGUGGUAUAUAUCAAGUUAUAAACUAUUGCUGUGAUUAAUUUGGCUAUGUGAAUCUAGAUUUUAACAUCUCUGCAUACACGCGAUCCUUAUUAUUCCAUGCUAUACUUGGGAUAUAAUUGGUCGAUUUUUAUUAUAUGUACAUGUAUAUUUUCCUGGACAAUUAUUCUUUGAUCCUGUUCAAUGUGGUGUUGAUUCCAGAACCUUUGUACUACUCUAGCAUAGAUUACAAGAUUUUGGAAUGACUUUUUGGCCUUCCCAAGAUGAGGAAUUUUGGACAAACUGGAUAUAAACUUGAUUCUGAUUAACUUAACCUUUUUGGGGGAGGUUUUCUAAAUCUUCAUUACUGUUUUGAACAAGAUGAUGAUGAUGAUACUCCUAAAAGUAUACCCUCUUCAUUAUAGUGACCAAAUGACUCUUUUGUAUUAGGGUGAAGCCAAAAUCAUGUCAUUUCAUAUGGGUACACGAUCUUGCAAAUUGGAUUGAAAUUUGGUCAACUCUUCUAAGACUCUUCUUUACAUUUCAGUGCUUUUUUAUAAUAAUACUCAACACAUAAAAGGUCAGUUGCUUUGAAUUUUCUUUGUGAUUGUUAUAAGGGAGAGAGCCUAUAAAUGUGUGGUUCACUUUGGAACCCAUGGCAGGCAGAGGUUCACAUACUUCCUUUUCAGCUUGGGAUUUUGGAUAGUGUCAGAGUUUUUGUGUAUACGUAUCAGGAAUGUAAGCAUGUAAGCAUGAAUGAAGCAAUGACAAGCAAUCCGUGACAACUUGGUUUGGCACCAAAAUCUGCAAUUGACAGCUGUUGAUGGCUUUCAUUUGGUUAUCACUACUCUGACUAUGCAUUCUUCAUGUUUCUUUGUAUAUUUUGAGGAUAUUGUUUUCUUGAUUACAAAGACCUGUUUUUGCUUUGGUGUUACAGAGGAGAGAUCUGUGAAUGUACCAUCAAAUUUGAAAGCUUUGAGCCUUUGGAUUCAACGGGUUACAUUUUUCCUUGAGUGUUUGUUCUGGAAUAGGUGUACUCCUAGUAUGGUGUGGCAGUGCUGGUAUUUAUUAUGUUUAGAAUUAUGAAUUUGAGUAUUAGCAGCGUAUGUCUUUCUUGGAUAAUCAAGAUAUAAGUCUGUUUUGCAGUGAGUUGAAUGUUUGUAGAUACUUGAUUCAUUUUUUAGUGAGCUGAUCGAUUUUUGAUUUCUGGAAUAGGUGUCCUAGUAUGGUGUGGCAGUGCUGGUAUUUAUUUAUGUUUAGAAUUAUGAAUCUGAUCAUAUUAGCAGUGCAUCUCUUUCUUGGAUAAUCAAGAUAUAAGUCUGUUUUGCAGUGUGUUGAACGUUUGUAGAUACUUGAUUUUUCUUAUGACGAUAGUAGAGAUUUUUUUUGUUUUUUGUUUGUGUGUUUUGGGACAGCUUGGUGGGCCUCUCGUUGUUAUGCUGAUCUGUGAAUUGGUUUCAAGAACUUUGCUGAUCUUUCUCCUAAUGUUAUUUUUUAUAUGGUAUUAACAGAGUAAGUGUUGUACGGGUUUGGUAUACCACAAGUUUCCUUCUUUCUCAAACACACUGCACAUUUUUAAUCCGCUCAAGUUUCUUUGCCGCUUUGUGCCGCUUAUCUUCUGUAAACGUAUUAACCUUCCACAUGAACCAUAAUUGUUAGGUGGCUGUGUUAUAUAUCUUAUUCUAGGCUUUAAUUUGGUAAACUGUACUCAUAUUUGAAUUCUUUAACAUUUCAUUAUAUCUGUUUCAGCAUACCCGCUUCUUGAUUCCUUUGUGAAAGUUUAUGGUGAGGUUAUCACAUCUCUUUUUAUCUUUGGGAAAUAAUUGGUAAUUGAUAAGUUAUAUUUAUUUCUUUGAGGGUUGAAGUUUCUGUAACGUGAGUUUUACCCGAUUGUACGUUUAGCAUAUAAGAUUCUGUUGUAACUCUUCCUUUCCCAUGAUGAGGAAUUUUGGACAACUUGGUUAGGUGCAGUUUCUUAUGAUCUUUUUCAUCGGCCCAAGAACUCCUCUGGUAUUAAGGUAGAAGCUUAAAUUGGUCAUCUCUAUUUUGUUUUGGGAUUGAUGAUAUGUCUUGUGAUGGUGACAGCUUUGGUUCUGUUAGUUUGCCACUUCCUUUGAAAGUGAGGAAGCCCAAAUAAUUGUCAUUUAAUAUGGAGCACAAAUCUGCAAUUGGUUAUCUCAACUCUGGCUAUGAAUUCUUUACGUUUCUAUUUCUUGAGGAUUUAGUUUUCUUGAUUCCUAAAGUUUCAUGUGGGUGUCACAGGGAGGAUAUAUGGACUGCGAAAGCUGUGGAAUGAUUAUGACUUUUGCUUGGUUGUUACUGUUGAAUUAUCUAUCCAUGUGAUGUGGUAAUGUUGAUAUGUGUGUUGCUUAUUCGGAAUCUAAGUAUUAGGAGAGCUUUAUAAUGUAUAAUUUAAGCUUUAACCUUUAUUUUCUUACAAUUGCUUGUCGUGCAGUUGUUUUUUCAUGUUCAGAAUCUGUGUAUAUUUUUCACUAAUCAAUCUAAGGCCAUGAUUGGCGAACAAGUUAAUACUGACUCAUCUUAUAUUUAGCCUGAAAAGCCUAUACACUAUAGCACAUACAUCUUUCUAAAUAUACAGUGUUACAUAAAUUUGGCAAUGUUUUGUCUAUAUAUUAAUGUAAUCUUGAAGUGUCAAUUUAUCAUCAAGAACUAACUCAUUAUUUGUACAACUAAAACUAGAAGAACGAUUCUUAUUCCUAUGGAUGUAUGAAAUCAUAAUAUAAUGGUACUCAUUCGCGAUAGAGGCCUACUACAUUGAUUCUUAGAGCUAUAUUUCUUGAUUUUUUUUAUCCAUUGACUAGAUUGUUUGCUCCGUUGAGGCUUAUAACAAACUUACAUUUGUGUAUUUGUUUUGGGAUACUCGGUAUCUACUUUUACAGUUCCUUUGAGUUUUUUGUGUGGGAGAACACAUACUUUCCGUUCAGCCUAUAAAUACGUGUGGUUUGCCAGGGAUCCAGUAGCAGGAAAAGGUUCACAUACUUUUUGUUCAGCCUGGGGAUAACAAUAGUUUUACUUACAUGUGUAUUUAUUUUGGGAUAGGGUUGGAGCAUGAGUAUGAAGCAUCUAAGAUUACAGAGUAAAUCUCUUUGUCAUCCCCAAGGAUGAGGAACUGGACAAGCUUGGUUUGGCACUUUUUUUUGUUCUUUUGACUCUUCUUUUAUGGAUUGGUUAAUCAAGAUAUGUGUUUAUCCGUUUUGCAGUGAGAUGAAGUCAUUGGAUAUGUAGAACAUUUUGAGAUUGUUUAUUAAAUGGAUAAGAACAGAUAACAUUUCCAGAUAAAUCAAUUUUCUUCAAUGAGUCAUUCUUCAUAAUUUCUAUUUACCGUGCUUCCAUUCGGUGAUAUCUUUUCUGACAAUGAAUUUUUCAUGUUUCUUUUGUUUAUUUUGAGGAUCUUUGUACACUAGCUUCCUUUGAGAGACUUUGAAUUAUUGUGCGACUUGAAAGCUGUGGUAGACAUUAUUAAGGAAAUGCUUUGAGCUAGUGAAGAUAAACACACAAUUCCUUCUGGUUCCAUCUCCCUCUUAUUUCAUAUUUCAUAUUUUUGUAUUCUCACUAUUGUUCCUUUGGUACUCUGGUCUAUUGAUGUUGAGGUUUGAUUUGGUGCUUGCUGGUUAUUACUAAAAACAGAAGAAUAUUGAGAUAUUCAUUUAUCUAUUUUGCAGCAAGUUGAAUUCUGGAUAUAUGGAACAAUUUGCGAUUAAAAUGGAUAAGAACGAUAAUGGCUAUAGAUACAUAAUCAAAUUUCAUCAAUAAGUCUUUCUUUAUUACUUUUUAUUUUGGGCUUUGAUUGCAAGACAUACAAAUUGAAUUGUGAAUUUGUUUUUCUGCAGCGUGGUUUGUGAAAAUCAAAAUAAUAACUAUCUUUCAUCAUAGUGUGGAGCCCUCAUGUUUUAAUUUCCUUAUCUCUCUUAAAAUAUUUUAGUUUGCAAUAACUAUUGCUUUUGAAUGCAUAUUUUCUUGAUAUUUUAUUUCCUCUGAUGUUGCAGGAAAGUAAUUUGUGAACACUGAUUCCUUCUGGUUCUGGUUCUAUCUUUCUUUUGUUUGAUAUUCAUGUUUUGUAUUCAUAUUCAUUUCUGGUCUUUUGAUUUGGUUCUGUUCUUUUUACUACUUAUGUAUCCAUGCUUCUCAUUCAUUCUUUGGAUAUAAUUGGUCUUUUUUAAUUAUAUGUAUUUGUGUUUCAUCUAGUGUUGAAGUUGUGUGUUUCAGGAUCCACAACUUGAAUAAAUCUUUUCCCUUUCCAAGAUGAGAAAUUUUGGACAAUAUUUGGUUAUGUCAUAUGUGUUGUUUGCUUUUAUGAGUUGUUCGUUGGUGACAUAAUAACUUUGUUGGGGAAGGUUUUUCAUAAUUUUCUUUUGUUGCUAUUAUUUUGAUUUGUGAUUUAUGAUGAUGAUGAUGAUGAUGAUACUCCUAAAAAAACAUCCUCUUCAUUACAGUGGCCCAAGGACACGGCGUUGGCUUGCCAAGGUACACAAUUCGAUCACUUUUCACUUCACUCCUCCUUGAUCACAUACUGACUUGAGCGUCGGAGUGCUAACAUGUUUUGCAGGUACCUUCCCCACCGUGAUCCACCGUACAAGAAAUCUAACGCAACCUUAACUUCCUUUAGCCUCACCAUUGGAGUUAUCUCAUUGAGAUCUGGUCCGAACACACUAUAUUAGGGAGAACCUUUAUGUUCAUUUGCCACUUCCAAUGUUAUAAUUGUUUUUCUAUAUUAUUCUAUUCUUUUCAUUUGUGGUAUAUAAAAUAAUACUAACAAGAAUCUUCUCUCCCAAAUGGGUAUCCCUCACAGAAUUUGCAAUUGAAGAAAGAACUUGGUAUAGGGAAUGGAACACCAGAAUCUACUCUGACUGAAUUCUUCACGUUUUUUUGUUUGUUUUGUGGAUCUAGGUUUUUUUAUUCCUUUGUCAGUUUGGCAUAGAUUUAUCUAUGAAGGACAUGUUUUUGCUUUGGUGUAACAGGUGGGAGCGGCCAUGAUUGUGCCCCGUGGGAUUUGAAAUGCUUUGAGCCUUUGGAUUUAACGGGUCAAUUUUCCUUGAAUGUUCUUGUUUUGGAAUAAGUGUCCUAUGAUAGUGUCUAUUUUUAUGUUCAGAAUUAUAUAUCCAUAUCUUUCUUGAAUAAUCUUGAGAUAUACAAUCUGUUUUGCAGUGAAUUGAAGUUUGAUAACAAGAACGUUUGUAAGAUACUUGAUACAAUCGAUAAGAAAGGAGAUUCAAGAUAAAUCAUGAUGUUUCUUCGAUGAGUCAUUCUUUACUAUUUUUAUUUUCGAGCAUUGUUCAUAAUUAGACAUACAAAUUAAAUUGCGAAUAUACUAUUCUGCAGAAUGGUUUGACAAAAUAAUGUCGUUCUUCAUAGUGCAGAGCCUCAAAUUUUGAUUUGCAUAUCUUCAGUAAAUUCUUUUCGUUUCAGUGUUCCUAUAAUGAUUCUGAGAGGAUAUAUUUCUUUAUUUAGUAUUUUUUUUCGAUGGAUUUUCAGGAGAGGAUAUCUAUAAAGACACAAUUCCUUAUGGUUCUUCAUUUAUUAUUUUUUCUAUGGUACUCUAGUUUCUUGAUGUGGAGGUUUGAUUUGGUUAUGCUGGUUUCGAUCGUGGGGUUUGUUGUUCUUAUAUCAAUGAUCUGCUGCUAUGAAUGAUUUGUACUGGCUUCUCUUCCAAUUCUCGUUUAAUUAUAUGUGUAGUCCUUUGAUAUAAUUUAUCAUUUGAUAAAAGAAUAUUGAGAUAUUCGUUUAUCCAUUUUGCAGCGAGCUGAUCUCUGGAUAUAUGAAACAAUUUGCAAUUAUAAUGGUUAAGAUCGAUAAUGGCUACAGAUACAUAAUAAAAUUUCUAGGAUGUGUAAUUCUUAAUUAUUUUUAUUUUUGGGCUUUGAUUGCAAGACAUACAAAUUGAAUUUUGAACCUGUUUUUCAGCAGCGUGGUUUAUCAAAAUCAAAAUAAUAACGAUCUUUCAUCAUAGCAUGGAGCCCACGUGUUUUGAUUUGCUUAUCUUAUUUAAAAUAUUAUAGCUUUCGAUAACUCUGGCUUUGGAAAGCAUUUUUUUCUUGAUAUUUUAUUUCCUCGGAUGUUGCAGUGAAGGUCAUUUGUGUACACUGAUUCCUUCUGGAUCUGGUUUUAUCUUUCUUUUGUUUGAUUUUCAUGUUUUGCAUUCAUACAUAUGAAUUUAAAUACGAUGCUGUUUUCUGCAGUGUUUUAAAACAAUUCUGUGUAGUGUCAACUAUCAUGCCCCAGAUUGUGAAUUAUUUUCAUUUCUAUUAUUAUUGUCUAGAUGAUUUACUUCUUUUUUCUACAUUUGGCUUUUUUAUCUGAAUUCUACAGUGCAGAAGUUUACAUGAGGAAGUUGGUGGGCAUCUUGUUGUAAUGCUGAUAUGCGACUUGGUUUGAAGAAUUAUGCUACUAUUCUUUCUUCUUAGUUCUUUUUUUUACAACCUAUUUUUCCUAGUGUAAUUUUUUUCUGUAAAUGUAUCAUGUGCUAUUGGCACAGUAAGUUUUACAUGGUUUGUUGUACCACAGAAGUUUCCUUCUUUCGCAAUUUUCGCCAUCUGAAGUGGAGAAUAUUGGAGAUGAGUUUCUUUGCCGCUUUGUACUACUUACCUUCUGUGAACAGAUUAACAAGGACACAUGAACCAUAAUGUUCUGACGGACGUCUUAUAAAUUUGCUAGGCUUUACUUUGGCAAUUUGGUGAUGUCUACUCUGGUUAUGAAUUCUUUACAUUUCGGAAUAGUCGUUUCAGCAACUAUGCUUCUUGAUUCCUUUGUCAAAGCUUAGGGUGAGGUUAUCACAUACUCCACCUUUUAUCUUUGAGUGACUUAUUUCUUCCGGUGUUGAAGUUUUUUUUUGUGUGUUUCUGUAUCUGUUAACUUCAGUUUUACUCUGUGGUUUUGCAUACAAGCUUUUAGAGUAACACUUCCCUUCCCAAGAUGAGUUUUGGACAACUUGGUAGGUGCUGUUUGUUAUGAUGAUUUGUUUGUUGCGGAUCAAUUGACUACAGUGGCCCUAGGACUCCUCUGGUAUUAGGUUGAAGCUUAAAUUGUGACAUUUCGUAUGAUUACAAGAUAUUCCAAAUUGGACGGAAAUUUGUUCCAAUGAACUAUCCUGUUCUGCAGGCUGUGUUCUAUGCCUUGUUUGGUCAUCUUUAAUAAAGACUUCACAGUUCAGAGACUUGUCAAGAUAAAACCAGUAACUUGUUUUUGGCAAGCAAAGGUUAACAUACUAUAAUUCAAUUCAGUCUUGCGAUCAAACCAGUAAUUUUUUCACAUCUGUUCGUUUUGUGAUUGGGGAUGUUUGUCUUUUGAUGGUGUCUGCUAGUGUUGGUGUUUUUUGUUUUGUGUUUGUAUCAGCUGCAUGAACAUUGUGCAGACAAGAUUCAAAGUAUAUCUCUUUGCCCUCACCAAGGAUGAGGAAUUCUGAACAGCUUGGUUUGGGCUUUCUCUUGUUCUGUUAAUUUAUUACUUUCCUUUGUUAUGAUUCUUUCACUAUUUUCUUGUCCUUUGUGACAUAUAAGAAUAAGACUAUGAAUUCUCACACAAAAGGAUUUUUGUCACAGAGAGGAAGCCUAAAUUAUUGUCAUUUCACAUGAAGCACCUAUCUGCAAUUAGAUGUAUUCACAUUGUUACGUUGUAUGCUAAAUCAGUGGUGAUCUCCACUCUGACUAAGAAUUCUUCGCGUUUGUCUCUUGAGGAUCUAGUUUUCUUAAUUUCCUAUAGUUUCAUGUAGGUGUCACAAGAAGGAUAUAGACAGCGAGAUGUGCAACAUUGUUACAGAAGAGAUAGCCUAUGAAUGUAAUGUGGGUAAAACUGGUCAUUUUUAUUUAAAUGUACUUUUUCUGGAUUUGAGUAAUUGUCAAUUGAUGGUGUGAUGUGGCAAUGCUAAUUUCAGUUUUUUAUCAGAAAUUUGAGUAUUAGGAGGGCUUAAAAAUUUAUGAUUGUGUAUCUUUUAGCUUGGUUUAUGAUGUGAGUUUUGUGUCACUUUAAUCAUGAUCAUUGAGUUGGAUAAAUCUAAUUUCAUCAUUGAAUUGUGUUGUAUUUUUUUUUUCUUUCAUGCUGUUUCAUUUGGCUUCCUGUUGAACAAUAAGGUUUAAUAUGGUGACAAGUACUCUUUGCUCGCGCCAAGGAUGAGGAAUUCUCGACAGCUUGGUUUUGGCUCUCUUUUGUUCUGUUAAUUUACCACUUCCUUUGUUAUGAUUCUUUUACUAUUUUCUUGUCUUUUCUUUAUUUAUAUGAAUCUGUCAAAUGGGCAUCCGUCACAGUUGGAAAUCAUUUGGUGAUUUCUACUCCGAUUAUGAAGGAAUUCAUGUUUCUUUCUCUUGAAUCUAGUUUUCUUGAUUCCUUAAUUUCCCUGUGGUGUGGGUGCACAGGGAGGGUAUGAACUGUGAAAGCUGCUACGAGAUUAUGAAGUUCUGCUUUUGGUUGUUACAAUGUAGAUAACCUACGAAUGUAAUGCGGGAUAAAACUGGUCAUUUUUAUUUAAAUGUACUUUCUUAUGGAUUGGAAUGGUUGUUUUUUAAUGGUGUCACGUGUUUAUGUUAUAAUUUUUGUGUGGUGUUCAUCAGAUUGGGAAAGCUAUAGAAUUUGUGAUUCUGUAGUAUAUGUGUUUUUCUAGAUGAGAAGCUGAAUAUAUAUAAUUCUGGUGUACAUCUCUUAGCUUGGUUAUUGUGUGAGUUUUAUGAUAUUUACGAUCAUUGGCUCUGGAUAAAUCUAAUUUCAUCCUCGAGUGUCUAUAGUGUCAAGCCUCGAGUAUAAGUUAUUAUUCAUUGUUUAUGUAUUGAUUCUUAUUGUUUGUCCUUCUUGAUUUACAGGAAAGAUAAAUAUAUGAAUGUGCGACUAUGGCGGAGAUUAUAAUCAGUUGGGGGUUUACUUACCCUCAAUACUAUGCUUUCUUACAUAUGCUUAAUUUGUGUAUGUUUAAGUUUUGUGCCUUGUCCCAAGGAGGCAAGGAUUCAUCCGUAUAAUGAGGAUGCCUAAAUUGUUUCAUUUCAUAUUGAUUAUAAGUUCUUGCAAAUCGGAAGGAAAAUUGUUCCAUUGAAACAUUGGGUGUGUUGAAUACUAGGCAUCUAGUUUUUGCAUUUCCUUUGAGUUUUCUGUGUGGUUGUUAGAUGACUUAUGAAUGUGUGCUAUGCUGUGGAGCCCUUUGCAGGCUGUGGUUAAAUAUACUAUCCAUUCAAUUCCCGGCCUUGGGAUCUGUCAUGUUUUGACUUAAAGUUGUUGUGUCCUGCCAGUCUUGGUGAUUUUGCGUUUCUGCAUCAAGAACGUGAGAACUUAAUCAUACCAGAUUCUAUAGUAUAUCUUUUCUCUGGAUACUUAAGCUGCUUUGGAGCUCUCUGGAAUGUAUAAGUUUUGGUUUCUUUUUUGCUUCUGAAGUUUUCUGUACUUGAUUUCAUGAACCUAGUAAUCAAGCUGUUUUCUGUAUUUGCUGGUUUCAAUCAGUUUUUUUUUUUUUGAUAAGCUUCAAUCAGAGUUUAUUGUUUGUACCUUCAAAUUUUGGUGGCUUAUCCAUGAAACUCUUCUGAAACAACAGGAAAGAUUGAAAGUUGAAUUUGCAAAAAGCUGUGUCUUUCUUUACUGACAUAAUCAUCCUGGAGAGGUCAUAGUUGGACAGUGCAUCCAAAUUGUGCAACCAUUAGGUGAAGGCGUCUGUUGGAAUAAUUAAGAUUUGAUGAUAUUGGUGCAUGCCUACUAUAAAACAUAACAUUCAUCGGCUCUAGUUAAAUCUGGUUUGUUCAUUGAAUUGUUUGGUACUCAUUUUUCAGGCUUUGAUAGCGUGUGUAUUGAAUCGUAAACCUGUUUUAUGGAUAUUAGUGUGUUCAGACAAUGAAGUUAUAUGUAACAUCAAAUCUGUGUAGAACUUCAUAAGGAGACUACAUAUGAAGAACAACCUAGUCAAAAAUACUACAUUUUAUAAAAUUUAUGCAAUGAAUUUUGCUGUGUUACGGCUGUUAAAAAAAAAAAAAAAAUUUCUGAUAUUAUUGUUUAUCAUUUAGAAUAUAAUAAAAAUAUCCUUUGAAUAAGCUGUAUUUGCAUAAAUUUCACUGUGUAACUCUUCCUACAACAACAUAAGGUGAACACUUAUCAGUAUUUAAUAAUCAAAAGGGUUAAGUCUCUGCUGCAUCAAAGAAAUUUUCCUACACAAGAUUCAAACUGAAAUCUUUAACAUCAUGUGCACUUGAAUCUUCUUGCAUCCAGUCUACAUAAUCUUUUGGUGGAAAAAUGAAAUUUAAGUGAUAUGAAGUAUGAACAUGAAAACUAAAUGAGAAAGGUAGGGAAAAUGUACAAAGAAAUCUUUCUUUUGAUGAUGUUCUCUGAUCUAUGUAACAUGCAGAAGGUACAUGUUGGUAAAUUUUCUUGACUGCUGAACAUUGGAAAAUUUUGAGUUCAGUGCACAUCUACUUUCAAAACGUUGGUUCAGUAUGAUCUAUAUAUCCAGGCUAAGUUCAAAAUAAACAAAGAAAUGAAACAAAAACUAAACAAAAGGGUCUUCAUCCUCCUGAGGUACUCCAGAAGCGUUGUUGACAGAGUGAGUAAAAGACUACAUUGUGGAAGGGAAGAGGAAUGGAGGAUGAAUCUUAUAUGCUAGUAUAAUGCUGAAUAUCUUAUAUGCUAGUAUCUUCAGAAGGAUGAAUCAAAGUAAUCAAAAAUAAUGUGAAAAACAAGAGAGGAAUACAAAUGAUGUGUAGACAUGAUUUCCUUGAAGCCUUGUUACAGAAGCACAAGAUCAAUGCAAUGUAUGCUAAAACUAACUGAAUUUCGACAAGCUACGUUUAGGAGUCAAUUGCAUAAUUUGAGAGGGAGUUUCAUGUUCCCUGCAAUUAGAGGUCACAAGUUUAAGUCAUGGAAACAGUCUUUCCAUUUGUGAGGCAAAGCUGCAUACAUCUGUCCCCCUAUCCCAUAUGGUAAGAGCCUCGUGUGUUGAGUAACUUUCUUGUUUUUGCCUUUUAUUAACUCUCAUCUUUAUGGAUU